rnacentral:rRNA from 1 species
CCUACGGGAGGCAGCAGUGAGGAAUAUUGGUCAAUGGACGAGAGUCUGAACCAGCCAAGUAGCGUGAAGGAUGACUGCCCUAUGGGUUGUAAACUUCUUUUAUAUGGGAAUAAAAUGGUCCACGUGUGGGGUUUUGUAGGUAACAUAUGAAUAAGGAUUGGCUAACUCCGUGCCAGCAGCCGCGGGAAUAAGGAGGAUACGAGCGUUAUCCGGAUUUAUUGGGUUUAAAGGGAGCGUUGGUGGAUUGGUAAGUCAGUUGUGAAAGUUUGGGGCUCAACCGUAAAAUUGCAGUUGAAACUGGCAGUCUUGAGUACAGUAGAGGUGGGCGGAAUUCGUGGUGUAGCGGUGAAAUGCUUAGAUAUCACGAAGAACUCCGAUUGCGAAGGCAGCUCACUGGACUGCAACUGACACUGAGGCUCGAAAGUGUGGGUAUCAAACAGGAUUAGAUACCCUGGUAGUC